GGACUUUUUCUUGCUGAUUUGUAGGUGCUCUUUUUAUUAUUUUUUUAGCCUAUUGGGAAAAUUAUCCCUUUGUCCUAUCUGUUACAAUUUUUCCCUUCCCAGUUUGUUGUUUUCUUUUGAGUUUAUGAUCUCUUUUGCCAGGCAGAGGUUUAAGCUGACAUAGUGAAAUCUAUCCAUCUCUUACGGCUGCUUAGUUGUAAGACUGGGCUUAUGAACAAUCCUCCCCUGUCUUUUUAAAUCCUUUUGUUUAAUAUUUUAGUCUUUAAUGUAUCUGGGGGAUUUGUGUUUCAGUGGGGUGCAGUUGCAGGGGGGAUUUGAGGGGGACAGCAUGAAGGCAGGGUGGCCCACUGGACAGUGGCCACAGUAACAGAGGGGAGUAUGAUGGCAGCCUUGGCUAGCGCAGAGCUUCUCAACCUUGGCUUUAGUGACAUUUGGGGCUGGGUCAUUCUUUAUCACGGGGGCUAUCCUGGGCAUUGUAGGAUGUUUAGCACCAUCCCUGGCCUCUACCCACUAGACGCCAAUAGCACCUACCCUCCAAGUUGUGACAACCAAACCAUCUCUAGACAUUGCCACAUGUCCCCUGGGGUUGACCUUCAGUUGGGAAGCACUAGGCUUGGAGAAUUCUGGAGACAUUUGGGAGGUGAAUCCGUAGGACUGGUGGCCAAUCCAUAGGGCUGGUGGAGUGGGGUUGAGGGAGGACUUGGGACUGAAUCCUGGGAUCCCAGGUUUGGCAACAGGGUAGCUGGCGAUGUCCCUUUCUGAGAAGGGUUCACAGGGGAGGAAUGAUAUUUUGCAGGAGUGAGGGGAGAUGAUAAGUUCCAUUCUGGGUAUGGUAAGUGUAAAGGGCCUAAGACACGCCCAUGUGGGGAUGUCAGUGGGCAAAUAAAGAUCUGAACUGGAGAAAACAAAGUGGGUGGUAUCAGCAUCAGGAUGGGAAUCAAAACUCUGGGUUGCCCAUGGAGGAGGCAUAAGAGGACCUGGGGGUAGCCCUGAGGAGCCUUCAUUAUGACUGCAGAGGAAGGGGGCCUGUAGGCAGAAGUAGGGGAAACAGGUGGCAGGGGGGCCUGAAACCCAAGAAUGAGGAGACCAUUCCAAGAUGUAGGAGUCCUCGACGAUGCCAGUGCUGCAGAGCGGACUAAGAAAAGAAGUGCCGAGAAGCCACCCUUUGAGCAGUAAGGAGAAGCAGUGACCGAGGUGAGGGCAGUUUCUGCAGCGUGGUGGGGGCGGAAGCCACAUGACAAGCUGAGGAGCAGCAAGAGGAGAGGAAGUGGAGAUGAGAAGAGUCAACAGCUCUUUUAAGACCCCUGGCAGGGAAGGGGAGGAGAGCAGACCAGUGGCUGGAGGCGGAAGUGGGGUUGACAGAUUUUCUAUUUUUAUUUCCGAUUUAUUAAGACAGAGGACACCCAGCAUGCUUGAACACUGAUGAGUAGGAGCCGGGAGAGAAGGAGGUGAAGCCAUCUACCUGCCCAGCCACCAUGUACCUGGCCCGUGCCAGGGACCCAGUGGGGAACAAUCAAGACAUUGCCCUCAUGGAGUUCACAGCAGGGCACAUGAAACCAGUUGUCCGAAGAACUACAAAAUUAUAAUCCUGUUUUCUAGGCUUCUGAGAACCCAGGCAUACAUACUUAAACGGGAUGGAAGUGGAUGGGAAGACCUGGGUGCUCCUGUGCCAUGGAGCUGAUGGGAACAGACUGGUCUGAGGUACGUUCACUCUGAUGGCUCUACGUGAAAAUACCGAUGUCCCACCGAGUGCAGAACAUACUACCAUCUUUCUCGGCUUUUUUCAUUCUUGCACAUCAACUUAACCAGUUGCCAUCAAAUGGACUCCAACCCAUGGCGACCCCAUGUGUGUCACAGUAGCACUGUGCUCCAUAGGGUUUUCAAUGGCUCAUUUUCAGAAGUAGAUUGCCAGGCCUUUCUUCUGAGGCACCUCUGGGUAGACUCAAGCCUCCAACCUUUCAGUUAACAGCCAAGUGCAUUCAUCGUUUGCACCACCCAGAGGCUCUGACUUACAAUUAGAGAGAAGCAAUUUGUGACUUUCUCAAAGCUGAGCUGCCCCGACAAGAAAGGACCAACCAACCCUGUGAGCUCAGGCCUGAGCUGAGCUUCCCCUCUACCCUGCCACAUUCUCCAAUUCAGCAGAAUUUCUUCUGAGUACAUGCAGCUAAGCUACACCUCUCCUAUCAGGCAACCACAGGCCUUCUAAAGUAGCAACCACAGGCAGGAAAGCAUUCUCAACAAACCACGGUUUACUUCCUUGUCAUUGUGCCAUUUCAUCAUGGCCUCGACCCCAAACCUCUGCUAAGCGGCAAGAACCAGCCACAGGCAAGCACUGCAAAAUAACUUGUUGCCCCUUUUUUUUUCCCUUUAAAUAAAACAAAACCAAAGCACAAGAAAAGCCCUUGUUACUGCAUCUAGUUGAGAUUCAGGAAAGAAACAGUAAUCCAAGCCCACAAAUCAGCCUGCAACCACAAAUGAGAUGAUAAAAUAAAUCCCUAAUUGUUGGGGAAGCCAUCUUUCUCUCUGGGGCUUGGAGGAAUUCAGCAAACACUUCUGUUAAGACAUUUGUAUUUACUUAUCCAAGAGCAAUGGGACUGAGGCCGAGGGAGGGCAGGUGAGCCACCUCAGGUGGAGCAGCAGGUGAAGGCCCCGCACUUACACUAAGAAGCCUCUCCAUCCUAAGCCACUUAUGCCAGGUCUCAAAACCACACACGACUUCCUCUCACCCCCUCCGAGGAGGUCCCAAGCCCUGGCCUGGCUCAUGAGACCUUUCUGUCUGACACCAGCAUUCACUGGAUAUUUACUGAAUCGUCCAGCCCAGUUUCCACCUCACCCUCACCCUAGGUUCACCUUCCCGAUCAUUCUAUGGCCUCCUACAUACGUCAUAAGCAGCCCACAGCAUAACCCCUCACGCCCAGCUUGAGCCCCUCAUCCUGACCACUGCUCCCUCCCCUACUGCUGUCCCUUCUAAUCUAUCUCGGGUGUCCCAAGUCCUGAAUUUCCCCUAAAAUAUUCUAACCCCAUUUGCCUCUCUCUGAAGUCCCCUAAGCACUGCUUGGCACGACAGCUGACUUGCAGACUGGCUUCUCAGGAGUGCGGGCCCAGCCCAUGAGCAGUCGGCAAGCCCUCCCUUGAGGCCCAGGCCUCUGCCAGAGGCCCCACCUAUGGCCUCUUGAAAAGGGACAAGAAAGGGGCAAGUGCUGAGGGCUAAGCAGUCCCAUGGCCACGAGCCUAAACCUCUUAUUUCAUCCAAGCACCUGGGGGUGAGUGACAGCAAGAGAAAAGCAGAGGGCCGCUGGGUCACACAGCACAAAAAGUCACUAGCUGCCUGGAAGGAAAGUGUUAAGGCAGGGACCAGAGGGACCAGAUUCUUAACACAUCUCUCUACGUGAGACCCACAGGCUCAUCCCUUCCAGUCAUUUCCCUCAACUCAAAGGCUGCCCAGAGUGACUCACAAGGAAUGUGCUUAUGUGACUUUAUGCCAGGUGUCCCCGAGGGCCAUGAACUCUCCCAGGGCACACACACACAGCCGUAAUGCCAGACUCAUCCCUUUAAUCCAACCUUUUACCUGUGCUGUUUGCCAAAGUGCACUGACAGCGAAAAAGUCAAGGUUAAGUGACUUGCCCAAGAUCGCACAGCCAGUCCGAGGCAGGGACUGCGGACGCUGCUGCUACUACCUGACAGAGCACACCCUCUGCAGCCACGGCCCCUCCCAUCCACACAGCCUCAGACGCCUCCAGCCAGGGGCCCUGCUCCCUACUCGGUGCUCUCAUUAUCUCCCACGUGCAGGCUUUAUGUUUGGUCUGAGGGUGGGGGCCACAAACGGCUUGGGGCAGGAGCUGAGCAGGGUGGUGAGCACUCCCGCUCCAGGGUCGGUACCACAGGGAAACACUGCGAGGAGCCAGGCUGCCUGGGUCCAAAUUCCAGCUCUGCUGUUCUGCUGUGGGACUGGAUAUAAGCCCUGCCCUGCUUUGCAUCUCUGCUCCCUCAUCCAUGUAAAGGUGGGCAAUCAUUGGACCUAAAUUUUGAGACUUUUUCGUCCCUGGGCGGUGCAAAUGCUCAAUGCACUCAGCUGCUAACCAAAAGAUCAGAGGCACCUUGGA